UGGUUCUGUUGUAUCAUUUAUGUUAGUUUGUGAUAUUUUGGCUAAAUAAGUCAUUCCUGGUGACCCAUAUACAUCAAUAGAAGAGUCCCAGAAAAUAGCCAGAGUGACAGCUGAGCAAAGAAACUCAAGUUAGGCUUGUGAGAAUAGGUUUGCGAGAGAAUGGAGAAGAAAGAGCUGGGCUUUUCCUCUGAAUUUGGCCAGUCUAGUUGGGUUGGCUUCAGAGGCAGGUUUUUGUUGAGGGGACCUGUCAGAGUCCUCACUGUGGCUCACGUUCGGUGCUGGCACCAAGCUGGAGAUGAAACGGGCUGAUGCCAAGCCAACCGUCUCCAUCUUCCCACCAUCCACUGAGCAGUUACAGUCUGGAAGCGCCUCACUCGUGUGCUUCGUGAACAACUUCUACCCCAAAGAUAUCAGUGUCCUGUGGAAAAUAGAUGGCAGUGAACAACGAGAUGGUGUCCUGAACAGUGUCACUGACCAGGACAGCAAAGACAACACCUACAGCCUGAGCAGCACCCUCACGUUGGACAAAGCAGAAUAUGAGAGGCAUAACUUGUAUGCCUGUGAGGUCACUCAUAAGACAUCAUCUACAGCCAUUGUCAAGAGCUUGAAGAAGGAUGAGUGUUAGAGCCAGAGGUCCCGAGGCACCGCCACCUGCUCUGGGACCAGCCUCAGUCUUCCCUCCUAAGGUCUUGGCGCCUUCUCCGUAGACUACCCACCCCUGUUGCAGUCCUCCAAAGCCCCACCACCUCCUGCCCCUCCCUUCCCUUGGCUUUUGUCCCUUCCCUUGGCUAAUAUUUGGGGAAGACAUUAAAUAAAGUGAAUCUUUGCACUUGA